rnacentral:rRNA from 1 species
AGUGAACGCUGGCGGUAGGCCUAACACAUGCAAGUCGAACGGCAGCACAGUAAGAGCUUGCUCUUACGGGUGGCGAGUGGCGGACGGGUGAGGAAUACAUCGGAAUCUACUUUUUCGUGGGGGAUAACGUAGGGAAACUUACGCUAAUACCGCAUACGACCUACGGGUGAAAGCAGGGGAUCUUCGGACCUUGCGCGAUUGAAUGAGCCGAUGUCGGAUUAGCUAGUUGGCGGGGUAAAGGCCCACCAAGGCGACGAUCCGUAGCUGGUCUGAGAGGAUGAUCAGCCACACUGGAACUGAGACACGGUCCAGACUCCUACGGGAGGCAGCAGUGGGGAAUAUUGGACAAAGGGCGCAAGCCUGAUCCAGCCAUACCGCGUGGGUGAAGAAGGCCUUCGGGUUGUAAAGCCCUUUUGUUGGGAAAGAAAAGCAGCAGGUUAAUACCCCGCUGUUCUGACGGUACCCAAAGAAUAAGCACUGGCUAACUUCGUG